GCCCAGUCGGUGUAGUGGUUAGCAUCGCUGACUGCUAUGCCGAAUGUCUCGGGUUCGAAUCCCGGACAAGGCA
rnacentral:tRNA from 1 species